GCUGGUAGGCAGUUGUGUAAAUUUCCAAAGCCUUAGCAUGGAAUGCCAUCUCCACUGUUACAAAUUCCCCCAGAAUUUUCUGCAGCAAACACAUGAGAACCAUUGCUGUCAAGCAGUUGGAUUCGAUGUUUAGAAGAGGCUGGCGAGUCGUGCGUGUGGCGUCCAUUGUGGCUCUCUGGAGUUCACUCUCAGCCUUUCGUGACACAACAGACAAAGAAAUGUAAAGCCCAAAAUGGUCUCAAGAAGCCCAAGAGUCCAAAUCGAGAUGAGCAAGACAUCUGAACUGACAAAAAUAAGAGGACUCACGUCAGGCUGAGUAUUAAAGACAUAUUAAUGCCAGACUAUGUUGGACCUACUUGGUUAUUAUUAAAUUAGUUAAAAAUGUAGUUUCAAGACACAAGUCCCACCUGCGACUGAGAGAGGCUGUUAAGGUAAAUGUGUGAUUGUGGUUUACAACAUUUGACUCUACAUUUUCUAGUAGGGCUGUCAAUACUUGUUAAUUGUAUUCAAAAUGAUGUGUAAAAAACUGUCCGAUUCAGAACCUUAUGCAAAUUAGCACCAAAUGCACAAGUUUUAAGUUAUACUAGUCAAAAUUGUUGUAAAUAUAUGAUGUAACUGACUUUUAAUGUCACAUUUUUAUAUAUCUAUUCAUUAACGUACUCAUCUGACAUGAUAAUGUCUUCAUUUAAUUGUCUCUAUUUGGGGGACUUCUUGGCAAAUAAAUAAAUUUUGACAAAUUAAAACAGAA